CCAACAAUCACUAACUCUCUCCCUCAAAGGCUAUUCUGGUAUAUGGAUAUGCAAAUCCUUGUUAGUUGUUACUUGGAGUAGCCGUUGAGGUGAGAGCGUUAUAGAAUGUUGG
rfam:Gossypium raimondii Chr07_contig_43, whole genome shotgun sequence.